rnacentral:rRNA from 1 species
UACAGAGGUCCCAAGCGUUGUUCGGAAUUACUGGGCGUAAAGGGCGCGUAGGCGGCCUUCUAAGUCGAACGUGAAAUCCCCGGGCUCAACCCGGGAACUGCGUCCGAUACUGGAAGGCUUGAAUCCGGGAGAGGGAUGCGGAAUUCCAGGUGUAGCGGUGAAAUGCGUAGAUAUCUGGAGGAACACCGGUGGCGAAGGCGGCGAUCCUGGACCGGUAUUGACGCUGAGGCGCGAAAGCCAGGGGAGCAAAGCGGG